CAUCUUUCCUACCAUCAUAAAGAAUUCAUAAAAAAGAAUACUUUUACUUACAAAUGUACCUCAAAAAGGUAUUCAGAAUUGGAAAAACAGCAGAGAAAAACCUGCUGGCAUUCCAAAACUACUUAAACUGCAGUAUGGAAGCAGCCAGGAGGUACUUUACAGGAUUUGAUGCUGCCUGCUGGCAAACAAGCAUCAUAGUGGAACAGAAGCCAGAAUGGGCUCCAGAGCUGGCAGCUCUGAAAUUAUCACUGCAAGAUUCUGUCUUCUUCAUCAGGGCACACUUUGCCUGACUCAGAAAUCUGGGAUUGUUUUCAAUUAAAGCAUUAAAAAACAAGGGCAAAAAUUUUUACCAAGAAACUUGAAUCCCACGGCCAAAGAAUACUACGUGGAUUAAUCAUUUCUGUUCCCAGGCUUUUGUUGUUUCUGUCAGGGCAGGAGAGUUAACAGCAUAUUUGGGCAAAUACAGUGAGCACGUGACAGUAGCGAUGCUCUAAGAGACAACUCAUGUAUGGCCUUGUUUCAGACUAAGACUUGGAUCCAUCCAGCUGAUUUAACACUGCUACAAUAAACAACAUGGAUAAUUUCCUGCUUUGUCUUAGGCUGCAGAAACUGGAAGCUAUCUGCAGCGUGAAUCACAGAUUUCACAGCAUUACAAUCUGGGGGCAUAACAACUGCAAUGAACUGAGCUUUUGUCUCCAAAAUGAAUGAAAGCAAACCCAAAAAAGAUAUCCCUCUUUCUACGAACUUCUGGAAGUAUUGGUAACCUCAGAAGCCCCAUCCACAGGCUGCCAUGAAAAGCCCUGCACAGCACUGGGUCAUUGCACUAGGACGAUGCAAACCCACCUCGGCUGCCCUGCCUGUUUGCAGGUGGUUAAGAAAGGAGCUUGCCAGUCUGCAGAAAUAGGAUGGACAGAAGGAAACCUCAAACAUGAAGGGCUGUACAAGACAGCCUAGACAUCCCUCUGCAUUCGUAUGCACAAAAUACCUCCUGGUCAAUUUUAGCAUUUGUUGUAUACUGGGAUUUAAGUUGGACACUUUGUGAGCACUGUCAGGAUUUUGCUCUACCACUCAAGCCAACAAAAGUGAAGGCUUAGGCCUCAAUGAAGUAAAUACUUUCUACAACUUCUAUUUUAACUACAUGGCCAAAGUUAACAGCUUGUUUCACGCUGAAGGCAAUUGCUUGUUCCUGUGCAAGGCAACACAAAAAAGGUUUGCCCAAUCAGAAACUUCAUAGAAUAAAUUCAUAAAAGUUUGUCCCCAAAAUAUUAAUCAGAAAAAAAUCCCGAAAAUAUAGGUUUGAUUUCAUUCACCAAACUUAAUAUUUCAGGAAAAAGCAAUCUAGCAAUGACACUCAAAAAUCAAACAUAGGUGUCAAGUUGUAGAAUACUACGAGGGUCAGCAGUACUCUGUUUUACCAAUUAGCCUGCAGAACUUCCACUCUGGUGUUAAUGUGAGCAGAGCAAUGUUGAAUGCACUCUCAUUUCUGCCUACAAGUAUACCUGAGCCAGCCUGGGUCACAGUCCUGUUUCUGACAGUGGCCUAAAGGGACAUGCACAGAAGAGAUCCCAGCAGAGUCACUUUAUAAAGUCCAUUUUCCAGUGCUUUCCAUUCUGUAACUGAAGGAUCUUCCGCAGCUAAGGAAAGCAUGGCUUUGACAUCCAUCGUGGACGUAGCUAGAAUUUAUCUUUUGGGCACUUUUCCAGUCUCUCCUCAAUUCCAUGUGAAGUUUUGGCAUCUGCAGCAACUGUCAGGAAGGACUUCCCCAGCUUAAAGAGGUAUUCUGUGAAACCCUCCUUAAAUGAGUCAGCUGCUAAUUUCACAAGCCUGUCUCUUUGAAUGAAUUUAAUUCCAGAAGACAGAGGGCAACAGGCUUCUUCAAAUCUGACCACAGUUCUGAUUAUGAAACCCACUUCAAAUGUCCCUAAAACCCCAUAUGUUAAUAUAAACAAAUAAAUUCACUUUUCUUGGGUCCUGA